UUCCAGUGGGUUGCAAAGCUGAAUCUUUAAGGAUUUGAUGGAAAGGCACCACCAGGAGUGGAACCCAUGCGGCUUAAUUUGCCUCAACAUGGGAAACCUCACCCGGCCCGGACACGGAAAGGAAUGCUAGUCAGACGGCGCUCAAGGCGAGCAGCACCAGCCCGGCCGAGAGCAGCACCAGUCCGAAGUAGGAUAUGGUGGAGCCGUGAGAGUUGAAGCUGUAGGCCACGGCGGUCACCACGAUCCCGGCGAUCAGGACCACCACGCCGAACGGGACGGUGCACCGGUAGCAGGAGAGCUCGGCUCCCCCGGUGGCCGCCGUCAACUGCACCUCGUUGACCAGAGGAACGGUGACGGCCGCCGGUGGCUCGUUGUUGUUGGUUUUCUCGGCCAGGAUUCGCUCGGGAGCUCCGGGGAUCGUCAUGGUGUCUUUCACAAGCUCGGCGGGCAUCGCAGGGUCAAGGGGUGUUGUCUACAGUCUUCCUUCCCGGAGGAAAUCUCUCCUCAAACGCAGCGCGCGCUGACGGACAUCGCUCGGGUCUCUGACUGACAGCACACAGACACUGAGAGUUUGGUCAUUCGCCUCCAGUUUUGCAACUUGCUUGAGUUCAUUUGAGUUCAUUCAGUGCAAUUCUCACCAAACCGUUCUUUAAUGAACAGAUUUUAUACAAACACUCCUUAAAGUUUCUUCAAUUGUUCAUUUAAUCGUAACAGGUUUUUUUUUUUUUUUUUGGCUGUAUAGUGUUUUAAGAAAUAUGUUUUUCCACAGGUUCUUUCCUAUCAGCUUGGAUCUAACCCUUUAUUUUAUUACACUUUCAC